GGUCAAGCGAAUAAGCGCACACGGUGGAUGCCUUGGCGGUCAGAGGCGAUGAAGGACGUGGCAGCCUGCGAAAAGUAUCGGGGAGCUGGCAACAAGCUUUGAUCCGGUAAUGUCCGAAUGGGGAAACCCACCCGCUUGCGGGUAUCCUGCAGUGAAUACAUAGCUGCUGGAAGCGAACCUGGUGAACUGAAAUAUCUAAGUAACCAGAGGAAAAGAAAUCAACCGAGAUUCCGUAAGUAGCGACGAGCGAACGCGGACUAGCCCUUAAGCUGAUUUGGUUCUAGGAAAACGCUCUGGAAAGAGCGGCCAUAGAAGGUGAUAGCCCUGUAUCUGAAAGGGCCAUUUCAGUGAAGACGAGUAGGGCGGGGCACGUGAAACCCUGUCUGAACAUGGGGGGACCAUCCUCCAAGGCUAAAUACUACUGACCGACCGAUAGUGAACCAGUACCGUGAGGGAAAGGCGAAAAGAACCCCGGAGAGGGGAGUGAAAUAGAUCCUGAAACCGUGUGCGUACAAGCAGUAGGAGCCUCGCAAGGGGUGACUGCGUACCUUUUGUAUAAUGGGUCAGCGACUUACUGUUCGUGGCAAGCUUAACCGUAUAGGGGAGGCGAAGGGAAACCGAGUCUGAUAAGGGCGCAUAGUCGCGGGCAGUAGACCCGAAACCGGGUGAUCUAGUCAUGGCCAGGGUGAAGGUGCCGUAACAGGUACUGGAGGCCCGAACCCACGUCUGUUGCAAAAGACGGGGAUGAGCUGUGAUUAGGAGUGAAAAGCUAAUCGAACCCGGAGAUAGCUGGUUCUCCUCGAAAGCUAUUUAGGUAGCGCCUCAUAUGUAUCCUCUCGGGGGUAGAGCACUGUUAUGGCUAGGGGGUCAUCGCGACUUACCAAACCAUUGCAAACUCCGAAUACCGAGACGGACUGUAUGGGAGACACACGGCGGGUGCUAACGUCCGUCGUGAAAAGGGAAACAACCCAGACCCACAGCUAAGGUCCCAAAUUUUGUGCUAAGUGGAAAACCAUGUGGAAAGGCACAGACAGCCAGGAGGUUGGCUUAGAAGCAGCCACCCUUUAAAGAAAGCGUAAUAGCUCACUGGUCGAGUCGGUCUGCGGGGAAGAUUUAACGGGGCUAAGCACAGAACCGAAGCUUGGGGUGUGCAUAUUUAUAUGUACGCGGUAGAGGAGCGUUCCGUAAGCCGUUGAAGGUGGAUUGAGAAGUCUGCUGGAGGUAUCGGAAGUGCGAAUGCUGACAUGAGUAACGAUAAUGCGGGUGAAAAACCCGCACGCCGAAAGCCCAAGGUUUCCUUGCGCAACGUUAAUCGGCGCAGGGUGAGUCGGCCCCUAAGGCGAGGACGAAAGUCGUAGUCGAUGGGAAGCAGGUUAAUAUUCCUGCACCUCGCGUAAGUGCGAUGGAGGGACGGAGAAGGUUAGGCAUACCGGGCGUUGGUUGUCCCGGGGAAAGGCGGUAGGUUUGGAUCUUUGGCAAAUCCGGGAUCCUUCAAGACCGAGCACCGAGACGAGCCUUUAUGGCGAAGUUGCUGAUACCACGCUUCCAGGAAAAGCUCCUAAGCUUCAGCUUACGCAGACCGUACCGUAAACCGACACAGGUGGGUAGGAUGAGAAUUCUCAGGCGCUUGAGAGAACUCGGGUGAAGGAACUAGGCAACAUGGCACCGUAACUUCGGGAGAAGGUGCACCCUUUUUGGUGGCUCGUGCGAGCUAUAGCUGAAGAGGGUCGCAGUAACCAGGCCGCUGCGACUGUUUAUCAAAAACACAGCACUCUGCAAACACGAAAGUGGACGUAUAGGGUGUGACGCCUGCCCGGUGCUGGAAGGUUAAUUGAUGGGGUCAGCCGCAAGGCGAAGCUCUUGAUCGAAGCCCCAGUAAACGGCGGCCGUAACUAUAACGGUCCUAAGGUAGCGAAAUUCCUUGUCGGGUAAGUUCCGACCUGCACGAAUGGCGUAACGACAGCGGCGCUGUCUCCACCCGAGACUCAGUGAAAUUGAAAUCGCUGUGAAGAUGCAGCGUUCCCGUGGCAAGACGGAAAGACCCCGUGAACCUUUACUAUAGCUUUACACUGAACGUUGAGUUCGUCUGUGUAGGAUAGGUGGGAGGCUAUGAAACCAUGGCGCUAGCUGUGG
rnacentral:rRNA from 1 species